UGGGGAAUUUUGGACAAUGGGCGCAAGCCUGAUCCAGCAAUGCCGCGUGCAGGAUGAAGGCCUUCGGGUUGUAAACUGCUUUUGUACGGAACGAAAAGGCUCUGGCUAAUACCUGGGGCACAUGACGGUACCGUAAGAAUAAGCACCGGCUAACUACGUGCCAGCAGCCGCGGUAAUACGUAGGGUGCGAGCGUUAAUCGGAAUUACUGGGCGUAAAGCGUGCGCAGGCGGUUUUGUAAGACAGAGGUGAAAUCCCCGGGCUCAACCUGGGAACUGCCUUUGUGACUGCAAGGCUGGAGUGCGGCAGAGGGGGGAUGGAAUUCCGCGUGUAGCAGUGAAAUGCGUAGAUAUGCGGAGGAACACCGAUGGCGAAGGCAAUCCCCUGGGCCUGCAACCUGGACGCUCAUGCACGAAAGCGUGGUGAGCAAACAGGAUUAGAUA
rnacentral:rRNA from 1 species